AUACUGUCAUUUAAAUUCCAGGUGCAGGUCUUCUGAACAAAUGCCUCCUGAGGAUUUCUGUGCCUGGAAAAUAUCUGUUAACAGACUGCUUUUACACCUACGCUUGCACCCUCACGACAUGCUCUCUCUCUCUCCCUCUCCUCUUUUCUCUCUUCUCUCCCUUCUCUCCUCUCUCUUAUCUCUCUCUUCUCUCUCUCGUACACAUACUCUGGAAAGCCAGCUACCAUACUGGGAACUGCCCAAUGGAGAGGCCCACAUUCCACAAGGAACUGAUGUCUUCAGCCAAUACCUCGCCAGGACCUGAGGCCUGCUGAGAGUCACGAGUGGCCUUCGUGGGUCCUCUCUCAACGAGCUUGCAGGUGACCACUGCGCCAGCCAAAACCUUGAUGGCAGCCUAUGAGUGAGUGACCCUGAGCCAGAAGACCCAGUUAAGCCAUGCCCAGGAUCCUGACCUGCAGAAACUAUGACAUAAUAAAUUUAUUGUUUUAUGCCA
rnacentral:lncRNA from 1 species